GGGUUGGUAGCUCAGCGGAUCAGAGCUCAUGGUUCCGGACCGUGAAGUCAAGGGUUCAAAUCCCUUCUAGCCCA
rnacentral:tRNA from 11 species